CGGACGGGUGAGUAACGCGUGGGUAACCUGCCUCAUACAGGGGGAUAACAGUUAGAAAUGACUGCUAAUACCGCAUAAGCGCACGAUACCGCAUGAUAUUGUGUGAAAAACUCCGGUGGUAUGAGAUGGACCCGCGUCUGAUUAGCUAGUUGGUGAGGUAACGGCCCACCAAGGCGACGAUCAGUAGCCGACCUGAGAGGGUGACCGGCCACAUUGGGACUGAGACACGGCCCAA
rnacentral:rRNA from 1 species